rnacentral:rRNA from 1 species
UACGAAGGGGGCUAGCGUUGCUCGGAAUCACUGGGCGUAAAGGGUGCGUAGGCGGGUCUUUAAGUCAGGGGUGAAAUCCUGGAGCUCAACUCCAGAACUGCCUUUGAUACUGAGGAUCUUGAGUUCGGGAGAGGUGAGUGGAACUGCGAGUGUAGAGGUGAAAUUCGUAGAUAUUCGCAAGAACACCAGUGGCGAAGGCGGCUCACUGGCCUGAUACUGACGCUGAGGCACGAAAGCGUGGGGAGCAAACGGG